GCUGGGCACAUUGGCAUGUGCUUGUAGUCCCAGCUACUCAGGAGGCUGAGGUGGGAGGAUCACUUGAGCCCAGGAGGUUGAGGCUGCAGUGAGCUGUGAUUAUGCCACUGCACUCCAGCUUGGGUGACAGAGUGAGACCCUGUCUCCA
rfam:Nomascus leucogenys chromosome 14, whole genome shotgun sequence.